UUCUACUUCUAGUCGACUGCUCUAUGACGGGCUUCCCUGUUUCCUGGGCUCUGCUCGCUCGUCUACGCUCCGACCCAGCAAGUAAUAAUUGAAAUGAAUUUCACCUUGCCUGCAUUAAGAUUUAAAACUUUUCGUCAAAAAAAAGGCAAUCAAUCAGAAUUAAGAAAAAAAAUGGAAAUAGUGACUAGAUGGAUCCCUAUCUUUAUCUCUAUCCACGGAGAUACCUAUCUAUAUGGAUAGAAAUCUAUCUAUGAAUCGAUCUAGACUAUCCUCUAUCCGGAUAGAUAUGUCCCUAUGAGCGACUACGCCGAUCUUUAUAUGUUUUGGCCACGUCCGUUUCCGCUCCAAAGAAGAAGGUUUAAAUCUUUCAAUCUUAUGUCGUGAGGGAUAUGACCUAUGUUCGGUCCAUAAAAUACCACAGCUUUUAGUGUUCUAUAAUUCACCUCCGAAUAAUGAGUAGGUAGUUCGAUCCUUUUGAUUCUUCUCUUCAUAGUAAACUGAUAGGGGGAUGCGGAGCAAUAGAUCGAAUUACUAUAUAAAGAAGAGUUGUAAACUAUAGGACUUCUUAUUCGAGUAGGAAGAUUUCGGUUUUUCUCGUUCCUUUUCUUCGAUAAGAAUAGGGAUUUGAAAUGAUACAAAUUUCUCUUCAUUCUGUUGUGCUCAGCGAAGGAACUGCCUAAGCAUACUUUUUCGGAUCCAAACUUCUUUGUUCUUUCUAAGUCUUCUUCUUGCAUAGAAGAACGCAACUGUUGCAAAAACCGGGAUUUUAGUAGUAGGCGGCAUCCCCUCUUAGUUUUGAGUAGGUGGAACCAUUCUGUUUUGGUUCUUCUCCACAUUCUUACCGGGUGAUCCAGGAAUUUGCCUAUGAUUUUUUCAACUAAUAUUUCGAUAUAGAAAGAUCUCCUUAUUUCUUCACCGCGGAUUCUUGCGUCAUUUUCUUGAAAAGAUAUUAGAUCACCGUGGGACACUUUCAAAUGAGUAAUGCUUACCAUUCCAUUAUUCACACAAACCCUUCGAUGACUUAUCAGCUGCCUUGCUUGAGGAAUAGUUUCACAAAAAUGGAGACGAACCAGAAUAACGUCCAAUCUUGUUUCUAGAUUAAGUAGAAAAGGGAUAUAUGAAGUUCGUUCUGUUCCUCUGUGCAUCUCUGUGA
rnacentral:misc_RNA from 1 species